rnacentral:rRNA from 1 species
UACAGAGGUCCCGAGCGUUGUUCGGAUUCAUUGGGCGUAAAGAGCUCGUAGGCGGCCUGUUGCGUCCGCUGUGAAAGCCCGGGGCUUAACCCCGGGUCGGCAGUGGAUACGGGCAGGCUAGAGGUAGGUAGGGGAGAAUGGAAUUCCCGGUGUAGCGGUGAAAUGCGCAGAUAUCGGGAGGAACACCGGUGGCGAAGGCGGUUCUCUGGGCCUUACCUGACGCUGAGGAGCGAAAGCGUGGGGAGCGAACAGG